rnacentral:rRNA from 1 species
AAAACGAGUAGAGUGGCGAACGGGUGAGUAACGCGUAGGUAAUCUGCCUUCGAGUCUGAGAUAACUCCGGGAAACUGGGGCUAAUACCGGAUGACGCAUCACAUUUGGGUUUGUGAUGUUAAAGGUGCUUUCGGGUGCCGCUUGAAGAUGAGCCUGCGACCUAUCAGCUUGUUGGUGGGGUAACGGCCUACCAAGGCGAAGACGGGUAGCUGGUCUGAGAGGAUGAUCAGUCACACUGGCACUGAGAUACGGGCCAGACUCCUACGGGAGGCAGCAGUAGGGAAUAUUGCGCAAUGGGCGAAAGCCUGACGCAGCGACGCCGCGUGAGUGAGAAGGUCUUAUUGAUUGUAAAGCUCUGUAAGGAGGGAAGAACACCCCUGUGUAACGGCAGGGACUGACGGUACCUCCAAAGUAAGGACCGGCUAAAUACGUGCCAGCAGCCGCGGUAAUACGUAUGGUCCGAGCGUUGUCCGGAAUGACUGGGCGUAAAGGGUGCGUAGGCGGACAUGUAUGUCGAGUAAAAUCCCAGGGCUUAACCUUGGAACUGCGCUCGAAACUGCAUGUCUAGAGUAUGUCAGAGGUGGGCGGAAUUCCCGGAGUAGCGGUGAAAUGCGUAGAGAUCGGGAAGAACACCAGUGGCGAAGGCGGCUCACUGGGACAUAACUGACGCUGAGGCACGAAAGCGUGGGGAGCGAACGGGAUUAGAUACCCCGGUAGUCCACGCCGUAAACGAUGGAUACUAGAUGUCAGGUUAUUUAACAACUUGGUGUCGAAGCAAACGUGAUAAGUAUCCCGCCUGGGGAGUACGGUCGCAAGAUUAAAACUCAAAGGAAUUGACGGGGGCCCGCACAAGCGGUGGAGCAUGUGGUUUAAUUCGAUGCAACGCGCAGAACCUUACCCGGACUUGACAUCCUUCGGAAGUCGACCAGAGAUGGACGACGUCUCUUCGGAGACCGGAGUGACAGGUGCUGCAUGGCUGUCGUCAGCUCGUGUUGUGAAAUGUUGGGUUAAGUCCCGCAACGAGCGCAACACUUGUCCUUAGUCGCCAUCAUUAAGUUGGGCACUCUAGGGAGACUGCCCGGGUUAACCGGGAGGAAGGUGGGGAUGACGUCAAGUCCUCAUGGCCCUUAUGUCCGGGGCUACACACGUGCUACAAUGGCGCAGACAGAGCGAAGCGAAGCGGCGACGUGAAGCAAAUCGCAGAAACUGCGUCUCAGUUCGGAUUGGAGUCUGCAACUCGACUCCAUGAAGUUGGAAUCGCUAGUAAUCGCGGAACAGCAUGCCGCGGUGAAUACGUUCCCGGGCCUUGUACACACCGCCCGUCACACCAUGGGAGUUGUUCUCACUGGACGACGUUGAGCUAGCCUUCGGGGGGCAGGCGUUAAUGGUGAGGAUAGCGACUGGGGUGAAGUCGUAACAAGGUA